rnacentral:rRNA from 1 species
CCUACGGGUGGCUGCAGUGGGGAAUAUUGGGCAAUGGAGGCAACUCUGACCCAGCAACGCCGCGUGAAUGAUGAAGGUCUUCGGAGUGUAAAGUUCUUUUCGAAGGGAAGAAGAAAGUGACGGUACCUUAGGAAUAAGCCUCGGCUAACUACGCGCCAGCAGCCGCGGUAAUACGUAGGAGGCAAGCGUUAGCCGGAAUGACUGGGCGUAAAGGGUGCGUAGGUGGUGUGACAAGUUAGGAGAGCAACUCCGGGGCUCAACUUCGGAACUACUACUAAAACUGUUGGCCUGGAGUGCAGGUGAGGCAAUCGGAUUUCCUGGUGUAGCGGUGAAAUGCGUAGAUAUUAGGCGGAACACCAGUGGCGAAGGCGGCUUGCUAGACUGUAACUGACACUGAGGCACGAAAGCGUGGGGAGCAAACAGGAUUAGAUACCCGGGUAGUC